rnacentral:rRNA from 1 species
AGGGAUUGCCUUAGUAACGGCGAGUGAAGCGGCAAUAGCUCAAAUUUGAAAGCUGGCCCCUUUCGGGGUCCGCGUUGUAAUUUGUAGAGGAUGAUUCGGCGAGGGCUCCCGUCUAAGUCCCUUGGAACAGGGCGUCAUAGAGGGUGAGAAUCCCGUAUGUGAUGGGCUGCCUUAGCCAUGUGAAUCUCCUUCGACGAGUCGAGUUGUUUGGGAAUGCAGCUCUAAAUGGGAGGUAAAUUUCUUCUAAAGCUAAAUACCGGCCAGAGACCGAUAGCGCACAAGUAGAGUGAUCGAAAGAUGAAAAGCACUUUGGAAAGAGAGUUAAAAAGUACGUGAAAUUGUUGAAAGGGAAGCGCUUGCAGCCAGACUUGUCCGCAGUUGCUCAGCCUGCCUCCUGACAGGCGUACUCUUCUGCGGCCAGGCCAGCAUCAGUUCGGGCGGUCGGAUAAAGACCCGGGGAAUGUAGCUCCUCUCGGGGAGUGUUAUAGCCCUGGGUGCAAUGCGGCCAGCCUGGACUGAGGAUCUCGCUUCGGCUAGGAUGCUGGCGUAAUGGCUGUAAGCGGCCCGUCUUGAAACACGGACCAAGGAGUCUAACAUCUAUGCGAGUGUUUGGGUGUCAAACCCAUGCGCGUAAUGAAAGUGAACGGAGGUGGGAACCCUCACGGGUGCACCAUCGACCGAUCCUGAUGUCUUCGGAUGGAUUUGAGUAAGAGCAUAGCUGUUGGGACCCGAAAGAUGGUGAACUAUGCCUGAAUAGGGUGAAGCCAGAGGAAACUCUGGUGGAGGCUCGCAGCGGUUCUGACGUGCAAAUCGAUCGUCAAAUUUGGGUAUAGGGGCGAAAGACUAAUCGAACCAUCUAG